CUUCUAUAGACGAGCUAGCACUGGAGGAAGUCAAACCCGUUCUGCACAAUGAAGCAGCAGCGUAGGACGGAGGCAGCACCACAAUGUGAGCUCAAAUCCUAUUCUAAGAACACCAUGGUGUUGGGGCCUGAACAGAAGAUGCCAGAUGGUGCUGCUUCUGAAGACCAUGGGGACUCUGCCAGUCUUGGUGCCAUCAACCCUGCCUACAGUAGCUCCUCUCUUCCGCAAUCCCCCGGGACAUCAGAGGAGCCCUUCACCACCUACUUUGAUGAGAAGAUUCCCAUUCCUGAGGAGGAGCACUCUUGUUUUAGCUUUCGGAAACUCUGGGCUUUCACGGGACCAGGAUUUCUUAUGAGCAUUGCCUACCUGGAUCCAGGAAACAUCGAAUCUGAUCUGCAGUCUGGAGCAGUGGCUGGGUUUAAGUUGCUCUGGGUUCUUCUGUUGGCCACCAUCGUGGGGCUCCUGCUGCAGCGCCUUGCGGCUAGACUGGGAGUGGUCACUGGGCUGCAUCUUGCUGAAGUUUGUUACCGUCAGUACCCCAAGGUCCCCCGAAUUAUCCUGUGGCUGAUGGUGGAGUUGGCUAUCAUUGGCUCAGAUAUGCAAGAAGUUAUUGGCUCAGCCAUUGCCAUCAAUCUCCUGUCUGUAGGAAGGGUUCCGCUAUGGGGUGGAGUUCUCAUCACCAUUGCAGAUACUUUUGUAUUUCUCUUUUUGGACAAAUAUGGCUUGCGGAAGCUGGAAGCAUUUUUUGGCUUUCUCAUCACUGUUAUGGCCCUCACUUUUGGAUAUGAGUAUAUUACAGUGCGACCCGACCAGAGCAAGGUGCUCAAGGGCAUGUUCCUGCCAUCCUGUUCAGGCUGCGGCACCCCACAGAUCCAGCAGGCUGUGGGCAUCGUGGGAGCUGUCAUCAUGCCACACAACAUGUACCUGCAUUCUGCCUUAGUCAAGUCCAGACAGGUAAACCGAGCCAAAAAGCAGGAAGUUCGAGAAGCCAAUAAGUACUUUUUCAUUGAAUCCUGCAUUGCGCUCUUUGUUUCCUUCAUCAUCAAUGUUUUUGUCGUCUCAGUCUUUGCCGAAGCUUUUUUUGAGAAAACCCACCAGCAGGUGAUUGAAGUCUGUAAAAAUAGCAGCAGUCCCCAUACUGGCCUUAUUCCUGAUGAUAACUCAACACUGGCGGUGGACAUCUUCAAAGGGGGUAUUGUGCUGGGAUGUUACUUCGGGCCUGCUGCACUCUACAUCUGGGCUGUGGGGAUCCUGGCCGCAGGGCAGAGCUCCACCAUGACAGGAACCUAUUCUGGCCAGUUUGUCAUGGAGGGAUUCCUGAACCUCAGGUGGUCACGCUUUGCCCGAGUGAUUCUGACCCGCUCUAUUGCCAUUAUCCCGACUCUGCUGGUUGCUGUCUUCCAAGAUGUAGAGCAUUUGACUGGGAUGAAUGACUUCCUCAAUGUUCUGCAGAGCUUACAGCUUCCCUUUGCUCUCAUACCCAUCCUCACGUUUACAAGCUUGCGGCCAGUAAUGAGUGACUUUGCCAAUGGAAUAGGCUGGAAGGUUGCAGGCGGGAUCUUGGUCUUUGUCAUCUGCUCUAUCAACAUGUACUUUGUCGUGAUUUAUGUCCAGAGUCUUGGGCAUAUGGUUCUGUAUGUGGUGGCUGCUGUGGUCAGUGUGGCUUAUCUGAGCUUCGUGUUUUACUUGAUUUGGCAAUGUAUGAUUGCUUUGGGCAUGUCCUGCCUGGAUUGUGGGCGCACGGUAAGCACCUCUAAAGUCCUGACUGAAGAAGCCACCGAUGACUAUACUAAGUAGACACUGGGUCAGUCGGUCUGAUCCGGGUAGCCAUCAGAGCCAGUGUGUUUCUAUGGUUUACUGUGUGAACAUAGCCCGAAGUAUGUGCUGUUGCACAGACUGCGUUUAGGAUUCCCCCGUUUGUUGUGAAAGACUCACAUAUGUAUGAAAAGUGGAUAUUUUUCUUCCUGACCUCCUAACUUGGGAACUGGGUCUUUGAAAAGCUGACUGUUUGCUGCUGUCAUUUUAACACUAACUCUUGAGCUGCUGAAGAGCCAGCUUAUUUUAUCCUUUGAGAGAUAAGUCUCUAUGCACGAUUCUUAACUAGGCUGUAUGUUAAAAAAGAACUGGAAAAUGCAGUACAUUUCAUAACAAAAGUACACAAUGGGUAUGCAGAUUUGUUUAUUAAAAGAUAAUGGAUUUUAAAAGGCUGAGAAAUACUUAUGCAUACCCUUUCAAUUAUUUUAAUUAUAAAAAGUAAAAUCUCAACUAGAGUGGUUUUAUCCAUAUUAAAUGUAGAAUUGUGAGACCGCCACCUUUAUCAGGUUUAGAAUUCUUUCAGUUUAUUUCUACUUUAAAUUUCUCAGUGGAAGUUAAGAGGGGUAAAAAACAUAAAGGUGAUAAAUGGACAAAUAGCAAAACUCACCUGUAGGUGGUGGUUACUAAUCACCUUGAAAAUCACUUAGAAGAUUUUCCUCAGAGAUUGAACACUUACCAGGAUUUUCUGGGGAGUCCUGACUUGAAUCACUUUUAUGUUAAUACACAGCUUUCUUGACACUUACUUUCAAGCACAUUUAGUGUAAAACCUUCACCUCCUCCUCCAGGGGGGUGGUGAUGGAGAAAGACGGUAGCAUUUGUAAACUGAAGUUCUCAUGAGACUUUGGGGUAAGGAGAAAAGACUUGAAAGGAGAAGAAGCACCAUCUGUGUCUUCCUGAGAGCCACCUCCUGCCAGCACCAUCACGUUUUCCUGAAGUGCCCAGGACGGCUUGCAAGGCAGCCUCGGAGCUGUGGACCUAAGCGAAGCAAAGCGCUCUCUCAGCAAGUCAGUAGGGUACCACUGUGGUUGCGAAGCUCUCUUCAGCCACUCCCUCAGAGGGAACACUUUUUGAGACCCGAUGGUGGCGCUCUGGAGUCAGAGGAAAUGGGUCCCUUCAGCAUGAAGCUGCUGCUCCUCAGCCCCUUGCGCCAUUUUUACCCACGGAGGCCGAGACUGUGAUUACCUCAAAUCAGUCACAUUUGUGUGACGCAGAUAAACAAUCACGUCGCUUAUAGCUGUUGGCGUGGUGAGGACAGUAAUGGGAAUGGCACCGAAGGACUUCUUAUUUGGGAGGUGGGGGCUUUCCUUCUGGAGAUACGGUGGAUUGAUGUUCUCUGUUCACUUGAACACUAACGGCGUUACUGCUGAUAUUUUGCACACAGUCAAAAGUGCAGACUGGAUAGAUUGUCUUUUAUAAGUCACUAAGGGUAAACUACUGUUUCACUGACCAUACCUUUAUCUUAGCUGCUGAAGUAAUAGAGCACAGUAUCAUGAAAGACAAAUUUCCCUAAAUGUUCCUCCUCAUAUCCAUCCUGUUCCUCUGAGAAGAUAUCGAAAAAUGACACCUUAAGCUGCAGUAGGUCUGGCUAUAGUAGGUGAGGGCCAAAUUAAUGAAAAAGUUCUUUGUAAAGACGAAACACUUACCUUUGCCCCGAAUCUGGGUGGGCCCAGUCAGUCUCAGAUUCACAAAUAUUUAGAAGUCCAGGUAAAAAUUGGCAGUUUUCUUUUAAACAUUGUAUUUAUAACUUGCAAUGAUGGAAAAUUUCUUCCCAAUUAAAUGGUACUUUAUAAUACAUGUAUGGAAUAUGUCACGGUGUUAAAAACUCCCAUGCUGUGUUCCAUCUGACCCUCUCAGAGAGUGUACUUCACCAGCACUCCGGUUGCAGUGCACGGUGUGCAGACCUUUCAUGUUUUCUAGUGCCAGCACAUGCAUUGUCUUGGCAGUGUCUCUGUGUGGAAUGUUUAGCCCAGUGGUUGGCAAACUCAUUAGUCAACAGAGCCAAAUAUCAACAGUACUUCUUCAAAAUAGACUUGCCCAGGCCAAAAACCGACUUCUGCGCAUGGGCCAGGAAGUUUCAAUCGCACUGUACGUGUGAGCCUGCACGUGGUAUUUUGUGGAAGAGCCACACUCACGGGGCCAAAAAGCCGGCUCGAGCCACAGUUUGCUGACCACUGGUUUAGGAGAUACAGUUGUACUUUAUGUCAGUCAGUCCUUGUUCUCCAUAAAUGUGUCAUGAAAUGACUGUGCUGCUCCAGCCUACGAGGAAUCAACAGGGACGAGGCAGAGCUGUAGUGUGGCUCCUGAGAGGUUGUGCUAGUGCUGUUAGGAGUGGUUACAACUGAGCUUUCAGUGACCAUUUAACAAUAUGUAAACUUGGUUUGUAAUUAAAAACAUUUUUCUUUUUUCAA